UCACCACACCGCAGGCAACGGGAUAUGUAAACGUUCCCAUGCAACUUUCCUUAAUGAAGCACGUACGUGCAAAUACACGCUUCUGUUUUUUUUUUUAGAAAAAAAGAUAAGUGUGUGUGCUUCCUUUGCUGAGGUUUCUUUUCUCACGUUAGGCGUGGUCGGGCCUCGAUCGGUUAACUGCAUGCGCUCUGUUGUGUUGAAUCCUUUUUUUCUGCUUAAUAUAAUGCACUACCAAAUGAGUAGAGUUCUUCUAGUGUUUUUAAUUAGUAAUAAAAUAUUAUUAUUAGUAACAUCAAAAAAUUCUCACUAGGAGAAAAAAAAAGUUUAUACUAAAUUUUGAACACUAACACACUAGGAAAGAAGCCCACAUCGCUAGUUAGGAGAAGUUGAAAAUUUUGGUGACAAGUUGAAAAUUUUGGUUACCAUGAAAUAUGCGUCAUCUUUGGCUUGAUCGGGAAAAAAAAAAAACAGAACAGGAGCGCGCUCAGCUCGGCCCGGUUCACGGGGCAAUGUAAACCGCACGAAUCUCAGAGCGCUGUGCAGCCACUGUAACACACGCUGGCGUCUCUUCCCAACCGGGCUCCACUAGCAACACCACUGCACUCCAGCAGAUCGAGCGAAGCCAACUUUUAGCGAAGCGGGCGGCGGCGAGGGUUUUGGAGGUCUCCAGCGCGGCGUCCGCAGAGGGAGAGACGGCCAGACCACCACCCACGACCACCAUGUCUGCGUACGUAAGUACUCCGAACGCUCCGGUCUCCCCACUCGACACCCCC
rnacentral:lncRNA from 1 species